GAUGAACGCUAGCGGCAGGCUUAAUACAUGCAAGUCGAACGGGAUUCGGGGUAGCAAUACUUUGAUGAGAGUGGCGCACGGGUGCGUAACGCGUAUGCAACCUACCUUUAACAGGUGAAUAGCCCCGAGAAAUCGGGAUUAAUACACCGUAACAUUGCGCUGUGGCAUCACAGUGCAAUUAAAGAUUUAUCGGUUAAAGACGGGCAUGCGUGACAUUAGCUAGUUGGUGAGGUAACGGCUCACCAAGGCAACGAUGUCUAGGGGUCCUGAGAGGGUUAUCCCCCACACUGGUACUGAGACACGGACCAGACUCCUACGGGAGGCAGCAGUAAGGAAUAUUGGUCAAUGGGCGCAAGCCUGAACCAGCCAUGCCGCGUGCAGGAAGACGGCCCUAUGGGUUGUAAACUGCUUUUGUCAGGGAAUAAACCUUUGUACGUGUACAGAGCUGAAGGUACCUGAAGAAUAAGCAUCGGCUAACUCCGUGCCAGCAGCCGCGGUAAU
rnacentral:rRNA from 1 species